rnacentral:lncRNA from 1 species
AGCACGAGUCAUCUGGUUCCAGUGACAAUGAAGACUGAGGUGUCUGCUUUGCAGUUUUUUUUUUUCUUUUCUUGUCUUUUUUUUUUUUUUUCCUAAUCAUGUGGACAUCUCUGAGAAUGAGGGGACUGGGUGACUUUGCAGUGUCUGCUUUCUAAGUUUCAAAGUGACUUUCCAGGCAAGCUGCGCAUAUCUUGGGAUCUUCACAGCACAGUGGCUGGGAAGGCAGGCGGACCCGUCUAUCAGCUUCUCCCUGGUGGGAUUCUUGCGGGGGCAGGGAUCGAGUCAAACCUUGGAAAUGACGUCAUUCUGAACUCAUCUGCCUUUAUCCAGAAGACUACCAAAGCAAACCAGAGGACCAGAGAACAGCAGCUGCUCUGGACAAAGAGGGGAGGACACCCACACCCACAUACCAAGUUCUGGUUGACUUCUACAGCAGAAGAAGCAGGAGACACAAGAAGGGGAAGACACAAGGAAGCUGGGCAUGAUGGCCAAGUGUUAGAGGGUUACACUACUGCCUUCUGCUUCUGAUCUGAUUGAGUCACAGCUGAGAUGUGGCACCAGGACUCUUGGCUACACUCAGUUCUCUCAGUUUGACUGAGUACUCUGGGAUCACAGAAGUGACUACAUGAUGAGUCAUUCUGUACCAACAGUAAUGUCUGGACCCUUCUCCUGGGAAAGGCACUUUGAACCUUCCCCAUGGUUCUCCACAUCUGUUCUCCACCCAUUCUCCCUCCAGCGGUGGAGAUGAUGAUGAUGGUGGUGGUGGUGAUGAUGAUGUCCUUUUCUGGUCAAGGAGAAGAAAGCUUCAUAGCACUAUGGUUGAAGGUCAGCUUUCCUAGGUCUUUUGCUAACAUUUCUGUUUGUGGGGUUUCUGAAUCAUCGGAGGAUACUUGUUUGAAGGAUGUCUGAGGAGAUCUUGGGUUCAAACUUGAGUCAAACACCGUUGAUGCCCCCAAAAGUUAGCUCCAAACAGAAUUGCUUAGUCCUGGGAAAAAAUGAAAAUCCAAGCUCCAACUGGCAAAGCAGAGAGGACCUGACAAGUGAGCGUUUUCGACAUCGUAGAAGAGAAAUUGGAUGACUAAGAACAAUCAUCUUCCUGACAGAUUAUGAUCUUGGUCAGCCUGGCUCUGCUGAGUCACUCUGCUAAAUAGUUCCCCUCACGUGGCCCAGCUGCCACCUGUCCCCAGAGGCGCCAAAGGCCACCUGAUCCCAACCACAACUUCAGCUCUCACUACUUGGGUUGUUCCUGCUGCUGUAUUUGUUUUGUUCUUAGGUUAAAAGCAUAAUAUGUAUACAAAAUUAUGUACCAGGUAAACGUUCACAAUUAGCUUCAUGUCAAAAUUAAAAUUAGCAUGAUCAUAAA